rnacentral:rRNA from 1 species
ACUCGAGUGGCGAACGGGUGAGUAACACGUGGGUGAUCUGCCCUGCACUUCGGGAUAAGCUUGGGAAACUGGGUCUAAUACCGGAUAGGAGCCAUCUUUAGUGUGGUGGUUGGAAAGUUUUUUCGGUGUAGGAUGAGCUCGCGGCCUAUCAGCUUGUUGGUGAGGUAAUGGCCUACCAAGGCGGCGACGGGUAGCCGGCCUGAGAGGGUGUACGGCCACAUUGGGACUGAGAUACGGCCCAGACUCCUACGGGAGGCAGCAGUGGGGAAUAUUGCACAAUGGGCGCAAGCCUGAUGCAGCGACGCCGCGUGGGGGAUGAAGGCCUUCGGGUUGUAAACUCCUUUCGCUAGGGACGAAGCUUUGUGUGACGGUACCUAGAUAAGAAGCACCGGCUAACUACGUGCCAGCAGCCGCGGUAAUACGUAGGGUGCGAGCGUUGUCCGGAAUUACUGGGCGUAAAGAGCUCGUAGGUGGUUUGUCGCGUCGUCUGUGAAAUUCUGGGGCUUAACUCCGGGCGUGCAGGCGAUACGGGCAUAACUUGAGUGCUGUAGGGGUAACUGGAAUUCCUGGUGUAGCGGUGAAAUGCGCAGAUAUCAGGAGGAACACCGAUGGCGAAGGCAGGUUACUGGGCAGUUACUGACGC